GAUGAACGCUGGCGGCAUGCCUAAUACAUGCAAGUCGAACGAGAGGAAGGAAAGCUUGCUUUUCUGAAUCUAGUGGCGAACGGGUGAGUAACACGUAGGUAACCUGCCCAUGUGCCCGGGAUAACUUCUGGAAACGGAUGCUAAAACCGGAUAGGUAGUAGACAAGCAUGUGACUGCUAUUAAAGUGGCUAAGGCCAUGAACAUGGAUGGACCUGCGGUGCAUUAGCAAGUUGGUGAGGUAACGGCCCACCAAGGCGACGAGGCAUAGCCGGCCGGAGAGGGCGGACGGCAAAAUUGGGACGGAGACACGGCCCAAACUCCUACGGGAGGCAGCAGUAGGGAAUUUUCGUAAAUGGGGGGAACCCUGAACGAGCAAUGCCGCGUGAGUGAGGAAGGUCUUCGGAUCGUAAAGCUCUGUUGUAAGAGAAAAACGACAUUCAUAGGGAAUGAUGAGUGAGUGAUGGUAUCUUACCAGAAAGUCACGGCUAACUACGUGCCAGCCGCCGCCGUAAUAC
rnacentral:rRNA from 1 species